CCUACGGGAGGCAGCAGUGAGGAAUAUUGGUCAAUGGACGAGAGUCUGAACCAGCCAAGUAGCGUGAAGGAUGACUGCCCUAUGGGUUGUAAACUUCUUUUAUAUGGGAAUAAAACGUUCCACGUGUGGGAUUUUGUAUGUACCAUAUGAAUAAGGAUCGGCUAACUCCGUGCCAGCAGCCGCGGUAAUACGGAGGAUCCGAGCGUUAUCCGGAUUUAUUGGGUUUAAAGGGAGCGUAGGUGGAUUGUUAAGUCAGUUGUGAAAGUUUGCGGCUCAACCGUAAAAUUGCAGUUGAAACUGGCAGUCUUGAGUGCAGUAGAGGUGGGCGGAAUUCGUGGCGUAGCGGUGAAAUGCUUAGAUAUCACGAAGAACUCCGAUUGCGAAGGCAGUUCACUGGACUGCAACUGACACUGAGGCUCGAAAGUGUGGGUAUCAAACAGGAUUAGAUACCCCUGUAGUC
rnacentral:rRNA from 1 species